CCCUUUCUAUGUACUGAGCCUUUACGUGGCGAGAGGGACCAACAGACUACAUUUGUCUGGCUAAUCCAGUA
rnacentral:ribozyme from 1 species